GUUUUCGAAAUUUGGAUGAGCAGUUGUCAUAUUUUUACAGUUAAUUCUGUAGUUCAUAGUGCUAGAUUGUAUGUUUAGAGCUCAAAUAUGCAGUCAAAUUAGACCAAGGCCCAUCUAACUUUCCGUUUCAAUAUCGUUGUAGGCUAUUCUCUGAUGAAUUGGAACAGUCUGCUCUUCUCAACCUUCAUAGUCCUUAUAAGUUUGUGUGUCAUCAUUGAAUCAACAAAUCAAGAAGAUAUCAUUCAAUGUUUGAAAAAUGGUGCAGAGUUUCGACAAGAAUCUAGACUAUUUUUAGCCAAAGAAUGUUGGCUCCAGACUUUUAGAGAUCAUAUAUUAUGUAGUAAAAUGGCUAUUUUUGUUCUCAUAGUUGUCAGUUUUAUGUAUUGUAAAGCACCAAGAAUGGCAAUGGUUAUGUCAGUUAUGCAAUUUUUCUCUUGUGUAGAAUCUCAAACUCCCCCAUCAUUUAUAUAUCGCAGACCCACUGAAGAACCACAGAAUGAUUUUUCAACAAAAGUUCAGCAAUUUUAUUUCAGAAUUUUCAUGGGUACACGCAUCAGUUAUUUUGAGUAUAAUUGUCUUAUUGUUUUUGAUAUUUUUAAUUUGCUAUUUGUACAAAUCAAAACAUAACCGGUGUACGACUUUGGUUUUAGAAAUUACCUCAGGUGGCGAUUGUGUUAUUGUACCUAUUUUAAACUUGUCUUUGUGCCCAUCUUAUUAUAAAAUUUCCAAACCAUCUGUUAAAGAAUUGACUGUUGCCGCAUUUCCCUCAUGUAAAUUAUUUGCCACAUGGUCAUCCUUUCAAGUAACUAAUUUGUUAACUGAGCAAAGUAUUCAGAUUCCCACAACAAUUUCACUUAGCUUAAGGAAUCGUUAUAAGCUUCCGUAUAUUUUAAAUCAACCAUUCAAUGCCUACGUCUAUGUGACACACCAAGGAUUCGCUAAUAUUCUAAAUCCGCCAGCAGAUUCUUCAAAUAAAACUAAGAAUGCAUCUGCAGCUGAUUUGACCUCAUUUGUAUAAACAUUUUUAUAAAACCAUUAUUAUUUUGGAUAAUUAUCUUAUUUUUUUUUGGUUUUGAGCGGUAGUCACC
rnacentral:lncRNA from 1 species